rnacentral:rRNA from 1 species
ACAAAGAAGGACGACAGGCACGAACGGUAGACAUCCCACCCUUGUGUAUUAUUACUUUGCAGAUACCCCGAGCUGCCUUCGGGCCUUAUAUGCUCGCCAGAGAAUACCAAAACUCUUUUUAUCAAUGUCGUCAGAGCACUAUAUAAGAGUAAAAACUUUCAACAACGGAUCUCUUGGUUCUGGAAUCGAUGAAAAACGCAGCGAAAUGCGAUAAGUAAUGUGAAUUGCAGAAUUCAGUGAAUCAUCGAAUCUUUGAACGCACAUUGCGCCCCUUGGUAUUCCGGGGGGCAUGCCUGUUCGAGCGUCAUUUCAACCCUCAAGCUUAGCUUGGUAUUGAGUCUAUGUCAGUAAUGGCAGGCUCUAAAAUCAGUGGCGGCGCCGCUGGGUCCUGAACGUAGUAAUAUCUCUCGUUACAGGUUCUCGGUGUGCUUCUGCCAAAACCCAAAUUUUUCUAUGGUUGACCUCGGAUCAGGUAGGGAUACCCGCUGAACUUAAGCAUAUCAAAAGGGGGAAGGAAGG